AUUGUUUGCUUUUACUGUUUCCUAACGUUUUAUUUUUUUACUCGAAGGAAUUAAAUUCAAAAUAAGUUACACUAAAUUUAGAUCUUCACAUAGUUUAGUUACCUCGACCUGUGUGAUUAAUUUAAUAAAUUUAGCAUUUCUUUGUCGCUGAGCGUUAAAUUUUAUUUUUCCAGUUACCCUAAAUAAAAUUUUGUUUUAUAAUAAUAAACACGGUGAUAGUGCGCUGUCGCGACAUAUAACGUAGUUCAAAUGAUAAUUGCCGGUUCAGUAUCGAUGAGAGAACUUGGUGUGUGCGCGCGGACUCGGUGGGAUGAUGUUGUUAUUCGGCGCCUUGGCGAUCGGGAUGAUCACGGGGCUGAACGUCACCACCGAGGUGCCGCCGAGCACUGAACUCGCGGAGCCUAGCACAACGGAGACGGGGGAGAUGGGCCUGCUGGAGACGACGCGGCUGUCGGGCCCCACGAGCGACCUGGUGAACGUGACCGCGCACGAGCGGCCCUCGAUGUGGGACUUGUACUUGCACCACUGCCCCAAGUGGCGGCCGAUGAACCACGUGUUCUUCCAAGUGGCGAACGUGUUGUUCCUGCUUUCGUUCCUGGCGCCGCACACGCCGAGCGGGCUGCUGUGGCUGCGUGUGGCCCUGAUGCUGGCGUGCGCCUUCUCCGGCAUGUGGGCGUGGAGCGUCGAGUGCUACCUGGACGCCGUGCUGUGGAACAGUGCUUUCAUACUGAUCAACUUUGUAUAUUUCUCAGUGCAGUUCUAUCUCAUGAGACCUAUUAAGUUCCACAAGGAUAUUGAGGAGGUAUACAUAGCAUUAUUCAAGCCGCUGCGCGUCUCCCGCCGUCAGUUCCGACGCGUGCUGAUGUGCAUGCGCAACGUGCGCCAUCUCAAGUGCCACGAGCUUUACGCGCACGAGAAGGUCACCAAAGUGGACAGCCUCUCUCUCGUGCUGUCCGGCAAGUUGGUGGUUUCGCAAAACCAGCGGGCGCUGCACAUUGUGUUCCCGCAUCACUUCCUCGACUCGCCGGAGUGGUUCGGCGUGUCGACGGAUGAGUUCUUCCAGGUAUCCAUAAUGGCGAUGGAAGAGUCUCGGGUGCUGGUGUGGCACCGCGACAAGCUAAAGCUGUCGAUCAUGUCCGACGGCUUCCUGCAAGCCGUAUUCGACCACAUAUUAGGCAGAGACGUCGUUCACAAACUUAUGCAGGUGAGCGAAACGAUGGCAGUGAGCAACGGCCACUUGCCGAACAGCUACGAGGAGGGCGAGGACAAGCCCAUGCUGGUGGUGAAGAAGUCGGGAGACGGGCCCGGCAUCACCGCGCUGCUCAACCGGCAGCUGCAAGGCGAGCACGCGCCGCUGCUGCGCGCCGCGCCUGCGCACCACUGAGGACGGCGACACCCUCAUCUCCUCAUAUCCGCAUCUCCGCAUCUCCCAUCUCCUCAUGCCAGCCUUCUCCUUGCCCAAGAGGCAUUUUGCAGUUCCAUAUAUAAAGUUUAAAAAAAUUACGGAAUUAUUAACGAACACAAUCGAAUCAAAUUCCAUCUCAGUUCCGUUAAGCUGGGUCUGUAGUUUAGCUGGGUUGGGAUGUGAAUAUUGUCCAAUUAUAUCGGUAAUUGUGUUUCGUGUUCCCUUUUCGCUUUAGUGGGCAGCUAUGCCUAGUGCUGCUAGAACAAAAUAUGUAUCGAUUAUAUCGUAUAAUCGAUAUUUAUUUUGUACCGUAUCGAUUAUAAGUUUAAGUUUGACAUUGCCUUUUGGCAUUAGCUUUAAUUUUAAAUUAAUUACUAACAAAAAAUCUUUUUGAAUUUUGGCAAUUUUUUAUUAUCUUUUAUUGACUAACAAGUCCAUAAUGUAAUAAGGUGGACAUACUAAUAAAUUUAAGAUAAGAUCAAGCUAUCAAUAGCUAGUAAGUGACGCGUCCGUCCAUGACCAAAAUGUCAAUUUAUAUUUAUAAGUUUUAUUUCCAUGAACUGCAAAAUGACCCAAUUUCCAAGUUUAUCAUCGCAUAUUAUGCAGUGGUUUGAUGAAACUGGUAUAAUACACACGUUAUUAGCAAUAAAUAAUGUCACAGUUCCACUGCAAGCUACUACUAGCUAUAUAAAACUAACCAAUUUCAUCAAACUAAACUUUUGCCCAAAUUCCAACAAAUUAUCCGUAUAUGUUUCGUUUUUCACACAUUCAAAGCAUAUGCAGCAAAUAUCUUUAAAAUAAAACUAUCACGCGUACAUACAUACAUAUUUCAUAUCAGUAUUCACUAUUUAUUCGCACAUUUCCAUAAUAUAAUUAUAUAUUUUUGCAUGCAAUAUAAUAUAUAUAACGCUAUCAUAUUUUCAUAUGGUACAUAUAUUAGUAUAUUUUGGCAUGUUUUAUCUAGUAUUAAUUGAACUAGUCUAUGUAGUGCUAUCUUUUUAACUUAGACACAGUUUGAACUAGGUAUAUAUGAGCCAAGAUUAAUAAUAGUUGCGAAGAAAAGUUUAAAUUUAAAUGUUCAAUUUAUAGAUAUUUAUUAAAUUAAACAAGAUAUUAAAAUCUUGUAGAGUGCAUUUUCAAGUCUUACUAAAAAUAAUCCAGUAAGAGUAUUUCUACAUUUACUAUCCGCAAUCUAUUAAAACAAAUAUAAACUUAAUUCUGUGUACCAAAAAAAAAUAGUGAUCGGCCUUUUUAACCUGUAUUUAUAAAUAUUUUCUUUACUGCAUUUUUUAUGAGCUUGCAUUUAUAGUCUAUUGUGAUUAUUAUUUUAUUUAAAAAAUAUCUUCAAUAUCGCUUAGAUACAUCUUUUCAGUGUUACCUCAACCUUAUUAAUCUUGGCUGCAAUAACAAUUUGUGCUUUAAUCGAAUAGUUGUUACCUCUACCAUAUAAGUAUUAGUAAUAUAGCUUUAUAAUGACGAUCCCCGAGAUCCCAUCCUUGUGUCCGAUCCCAUAGCAUGUUCGGAAGAUCGACAAUUGAAGCAACAGACCCGAACGCGUGGCGUCUAGGGCGGAUAGAGGAAGCGGACCACGAGACGCCCGUGUGAGGGCGCGCGCUGCACGUGGCGGUCCGACCUCCGCAUCCGCCACGUCCGCCGCAUCCGCCACAUCCGCCACACCCUUCGUAUCCGCAAUAUCCGCCGCGUGGUAAACGCCCGCGACGCUAGUGCAUCACACCCAAGCGGAGGACCGCGAUAAAUUCGAACUCUACAUGUGGAAUUAGACUAGAGAUACAUAACAUGUGGAAAAUCCACAUUAAAAAAUUCCGCAAGCCUCAUGAGCAAUAGAGUAUAUGAAGUAGCUCAAGAGCAACACAAAAUGCAAAAAUCGCAUAGUUAGUGGUACAUGGCGUGAAGAAAACAAAGCGGAAUAACGCAUGCGAUGCGGAUACGCAUGCGAACUGGAACACGAGCGGCCGGACUGUACGUGUUGUGACUGAAGUGUUGUGUUUGUGUAGGUUGUUGGUGCGAAGUGGUUGGAAUUAUGGUUUUAGAAUACGUCGAGGUGCGUGUCCAUACGAUUUGACUGAAGUUUUGAUAUUGAUCUCUUACGUGCAACUAAUGGAUGGGUUUAUGGACAGUGCGUUUUAUUAUUGCAAAUAUAUUUACAUUUUAAACGGUAAAACGUCGCUUUAGUCGUAUGGACAUGACUGGAGGGCAAUUUAUUUUACACGAAAAGAUUUUUUUAUAUUAACGUAUUCUUUUGAAGGACGCCAGAAAUGUAAUAAGCGGUAAUUAAAUUCUUAAAAUUAUUAUAAUUUUGCAUGGAGAUAGAUGCCAAUUUGUUAUUGUAUUAUCAUCUUUGUGUAACAAUAAAUGUGGAUCUGAUUUAAUUGUGAAACUUGGAAGCAUUAUUUUGUGUACACUGUAGAUAAAAAUAAUUAUAUAAAUGAAAAAGCAAUUAUUCAAAUUCAGUUACGAAUGUUUUGCGUUAAUUAUUUUUAUUUUUUCUAUUAAUCAUUGAGGUAAUGAACGUAAAAGUUAAAUCAGAGUUUUAAAUCUCCCAACGAAAUUGUAUUUAUUUUUAUAAAGAAAUGAAGUGCCCCUGCUUAUAUGUCAAUAAAUAUGUACUUAAAUUAACAAUUUGGCUUUAAAAGCAAUUUAGGAGACAUCGGGGUUUCAUAAUCUAUUGAGUUCACGACAUAUCGGAAAAAAUAUUUGGGAAAAAAAUGUAUUAAUUAUUAUAAUGUAAAUAUGCGAUUGAUAUUAUGGAGGGAAAAUAUAAAUUGUGUACAAAACGAUUUCUAUUUACUUCAACUGCCUUCUUGACAUGUGCUAAUAAACAAUACGAAUUGAGAGUUACCUGUUACCUACAGACUUUUAAUAUGAGUAAUUUCUUUCUGUUUUUGUAAGCGUUCUGUCUGAAUGUUUAUUCAACCUUUGUUCGAAUUUCGACGAAUUCAUUGAUCAGUUUCUUUAUAUUUCUUUCAUUUAACGAAUACUAUAUUAACAUAUUAUAAAUAGCGAUUAUCAUGAUUUUGAAACAAAUUAUUGUAUAUUUGCAACAGUGUUUGAUGGCUGAAAUUUAUGGACUAUUUUUUGAUAAAUAUAAAAAUUGUAAAUUACAUUACAUAAGACAUUCCAACACAUUGUAAUGUGUUAUUGGCCGUGUCAUAACAAGAUAACCUUCAGUUUUAUUUAUUUUUAUAUUGUUUAUAGUUACUGCAACUCAUUUUUGUUUACUGAUAUUGGAGGUCGUUUCAUAAGAAAUAAAAGACAUUUAAUACAAAUAACCGAUAGUUACAGUUGUUCUGACUAAGAUAUUAGAGUUAUGUCCGAAGUAUCGCAAACUACUCACAAUAUUCAACAGCCUUAACACCGCUCCUGAAACCAUACAGGUCCUAUUAAACCAAUUGCCGACGAAUAUAUAUUUUAUACCGUAUUUCGAGGCAAUACGGUUCGUGAUCGCUAUAUAGUGGGCACUGAGAGUUGAGGACAUCAUGGGCCAUUUCUCAAAGUGGUUGUUGCAAAUAUACGAAAGUGAUUUUGUAUUAUUACUCAUAUAUCUUCUACAAUGUGGAAACUAAUUUUGUGUCUAUUUCUAUAAUAUCUAUGACUUUAUAAUUAUAAAAUUCCCUUCAUUAUUUUCAUUUGAAACUCACAUAAUAUUUAAAACCAACAUAAAAUUGUACCUGAACCUAAUUUGUAUCGCAUUGUCGCCGUGACAAUAUCCAAGUACAUUUAGUAUAGUCUUCUAGCAAUACACCCUGCACGUCACAAAUUGAAGCAAUAAUUAAAGUUACCAUAGACAAAAUGAUUAUUUUAUAUAUUCGUUUUUAAUCGAUAUGUCGAUAAAAGAGGUCUUAGUGCUGUCGAUGAAAAAAACAUCUUCAGUAACUUUAGAUAUACCAAUAGUAACAAAUUUAAUAUAAAUAGAUUGUAAAGGAUACAAAAUGGCUGACUUAAUUGAAUUUUGAAUUGAUUGGUGUAGAAAGUAUUGUAUGUCUAAAGGUUGACUAGUGUUAGAGAGAGUUGGUUUUGGUAUAAGAAAGUAAUUAGCAAUGCAUACCAGCCUACCACGGCCUUUAAAUAUACCUCUAAGUGUGCAAAGAACUUUACACAAUGUUCUCAACAAAUACGAUCAUUUGGUUCUUAGAACUACAUCCUUAGUUCAUAAAAAGCUAGAUUUCUAUUGUCAAAGUCUGGAUUUAAAUGUAACUAGGAAUAUAAUAAUUUUGAUAUAGAUUAAACGCACAUGAAACUAUUUACACACGAUGGCUAUGUAUGUUUGUACGAAAUGGUAGGAUAUAUUUAUUAUUUUAAGUAUUUUUUCCCGUUUUAUUGCCUACCUUAAUUUUCACUGAGGUUGCCAGUUAUUUAAAAGUCCCUAUAUUUUUUGCUGUUACACAGUAAUCGUAAGCUAAUUGAUUUUCUUUUAUCAGAGAUCCUAUCCACUUAAAAAUAACGUACUCUUCAAUGUGUGGACGGUUUAAAAUAAUUAUUUAUUGAUUUUUUAUAGUUUCAGAUUUGUGAGUGACUGUUUACCUAUAUAGCUUAAGAUUUUUUUAUUGAAAGCUUACCAUCCCCUGAUACCUAUUUCUAUAUUAUAUGGUGCUACACCUGAAUUGUUUUGUUCAUUUGAUGUCUGACUCUUAUACUCAAAUCCUUUUAACUCUUUCUGACUACAGUCAUACCUAAUGGGUUGAAAAAAAUUACUCUACCAUAGAUUAAGUCAAAAAGAGUUAAAGCCUAAAUUUGGAUUUUGUAAUGCCUUUAAACGUAGUGUUGUGUGGAUUACCUGAACUUUGUUUUACCAAGUUAUGUUACUAUGAAGAUUCCAUGCUGAAGGAUUGAGUUCUAUGGGUAAUUUUAUACAUCACUAUACUUUUAAUUACUGAAAAAGACUUCAAACUGAUAGAUGAAGAUUUAAAUAAUAUUUGGAAUAUAUUUUUGUUCGCAUUGAAUGUGGAGUGUAUAAUUUAUGUAUGUUACUUAUUAAUCAAUAGUCAAUCACAAGUAAAUUAAAAAUAUUUAACAAGUAUAUAAAUAAAUAAAGGACCUAACUAUCUUAUUGAUAAUAAUUGAAGACACAGACUAUCGAUUAUUAAGUAACACCUACAUUGCAAUAUGUAAAAAAUGUAUAUUUUCGUCUAGAAUGUGUAAACUAAAUUGAUGUAGAAACAUUCCAAAAAUUAAUUUCCAUUUUGUUGUUUGGAUGAGAGAAAAAAAUAAUUUUAAGCGAAAUAUAUUAGAAAAUUGCACUGCCAAUGCAAACAAUGCAUAAAAAUGUAUAUUUGUGUGUUUGUCACAGCAUUAUGAUUUAAAGAUCUGAUUUUUUUAAAAGGCCUACAACAAUUUCAGUUUUCUUGAUUUUACGAUAUAUUUCAGUGACAGUAUAAACCUCGCGACGAUCCAAUUCUAUUGUCGACGAUUGUUUAGAAUUGUAAAUGUUAUUAUACCCAAACUGUUUAAGACAAUGUCUGAGUAAUGCAGUUCGUGCUUUCCCGUUGCCGCGAGGUUUACAAAACAAUAAAUGUGGAAAUACAUAGCGACACUCGAUUCGAAGCGAUGUUUUGUUUAUUUUUUUACCGAAAUAGCCGUUACAGUUACGAAAGAUGAAUGGAAUCACACAAAAAGCGUUACGUAGUAAGCUAAAGCCACUUGAAAUUUACGCAAGUCUUUUCAUUAUUCUAUAAUUCGUUUCGAAGUACACAAAAUAAACAAUUACUGGAACAAUAUUUGUAAUCACUUAAAUAGAAAAGAAAACAGUUGUGCUAUUCAGCUGUUUAAACAAGUUCGUAAUUGUAAGCAACCUUUGUAUAGGGUUGUCAGGCCUAUAGAAAUGAAACUAGGUUACAAGCCAGUAUUUAAGAUAUUUUUAUACUCUUAAGCUGUAGUUAUGACCUGACAGUGGAAAUUGGCUGAAACAUAAUUCAAAAACCUAACUUUAUUAUAUUGUAUGCCUGGCAGCCCUAGGCAUGUCGCUAUGUAUCUCCAGGGUACAUAAUCAAGACAAAUGCGAUUGUUGGGACAUGACUUGCCUUGUAUGUUGUGUAAAGCACCUGAUGCGUGUCAGUAUGCCUUAACAAAUUGCCAUUUGUGAUGUAUGUAAAUUAUGAAUGUGUCGUACUACAUAUUUGAAUCAUAGUACAUGUUGAGACAAAUAGAUAUUAAACAAAGAAAUAAACAGAUUGUGUAUAAAAGAGAA
rnacentral:misc_RNA from 1 species